rnacentral:rRNA from 1 species
AACGAACGCUGGCGGCGUGGAUAAGACAUGCAAGUUGAACGCGAUAUCCGUGGUAGCAAUAUUACGGGUGUUGAGUAGCGCAAGGGUGCGUAACACGUGAGAAUCUACCCUGAAGUUGGGGAUAAUCCCGAGAAAUCGGGACUAAUACCGAAUGUGACCGCAAGGUUAAAGCUGGGGAUCCGCAAGGACCUGGCGCUUCUGGAUGAGCUCGCGGCCUAUCAGCUAGUUGGCGGGGUAAAAGCCCACCAAGGCUAAGACGGGUAGCUGGUCUGAGAGGACGACCAGCCACACUGGAACUGAGACACGGUCCAGACACCUACGGGUGGCAGCAGUCGAGAAUUUUUCUCAAUGGGCGCAAGCCUGAAGGAGCGACGCCGCGUGUGGGAUGAAGGGUUUCGAUCCGUAAACCACUGUCAUUUGUGAACAAUGGUUAUCCGUGAACAACGGAUGACUUGAUAGUAAUGAAAGAGGAAGGGACGGCUAACUCUGUUC